rnacentral:rRNA from 1 species
AACGAACGCUGGCGGCAGGCUUAACACAUGCAAGUCGAACGGGCAUAGCAAUAUGUCAGUGGCAGACGGGUGAGUAACACGUGGGAACCUUCCUAGAGGUACGGAACAACGCAGGGAAACUUGUGCUAAUACCGUAUACGCUCGAGAGAGGAAAGAUUUAUCGCCUUUAGACGGGCCCGCGUAGGAUUAGGUAGUUGGUGAGGUAACGGCCCACCAAGCCUACGAUCCUUAGCUGACAUGAGAGGAUGAUCAGCCACACUGGGACUGAGACACGGCCCAGACUCCUACGGGAGGCAGCAGUGGGGAAUCUUGGACAAUGGGCGCAAGCCUGAUCCAGCCAUGCCGCGUGAGUGAAGAAGGCCUUCGGGUUGUAAAGCUCUUUUACCAGGGACGAUAAUGACGGUACCUGGAGAAUAAGCCCCGGCUAACUUCGUGCCAGCCGCCGCCGUAA